UUGGGAAUAUUGGGCAAUGGACGCAAGUCUGACCCAGCAACGCCGCGUGAAGGAAGAAGGCUUUCGGGUUGUAAACUUCUUUUAAGGGGGAAGAGCAGAAGACGGUACCACUUGAAUAAGCCACGGCUAACUACGUGCCAUCAGCCGCUGUAAUACGUAGGUGGCAAGCGUUGUCCGGAUUUACUGGGUGUAAAGGGCGUGCAGCCGGAGAGACAAGUCAGAUGUGAAAUCCACGGGCUCAACCCGUGAACUGCAUUUGAAACUGUUUCCCUUGAGUGUCGGAGAGGUAAUCGGAAUUCCUUGUGUAGCGGUGAAAUGCGUAGAUAUAAGGAAGAACACCAGUGGCGAAGGCGGAUUACUGGACGAUAACUGACGGUGAGGCGCGAAAGCGUGGGGAGCAAACAGG
rnacentral:rRNA from 1 species